rnacentral:lncRNA from 1 species
CGCACGCAGUCUCCCUCUCCCUACAGCCCCUGCAGUAAGAGUCACUAAAACCCUCACUGACUUACACUACCCAGCUGCUCUCCGAACCAGUUAAAUAACGCUAUUCUCCAGGAAAACAACGCGGAGGGAAUACCAACCCCAUGACAGGGCGCUUCCCAGCGCCGAGAGGAACGGACCGAGAGGCGCCGCGAACCCGGGUCCCCAGAGCCGGGCCCGGGGCAGCGCCGUGAGGGGGCAGCGCGACCGCCACCCGACACUCCCGCGGGCAGCUCCCGGCGCCGGGGGAUCUUGUGUCGCUUAUCGCGAAGGAGAGAGUGAGAUUACGGCCUGCACUGAGACCUUGCUGCUGUGUGCUUCCCCCAGCCUGUCUGUCAACUGCAGAGAAACGAUCCUGAGACAACUGGAUAAACCAGACAUUGACACUAACAGAGCAUGUGACUGGAGUUAAGGGAGUUUGUAUGUGGAGAAACUCUCAGCAGAAGGACAGCCAAGGAUAGAAUUUGGCUGCCCGCAGAUGUUGUGCUGUUGCCAUCCUUACUGGGGGACUGGUUGGACUGGAGACCUCCUGUAAUGCGCUACAGGGAAAGGCGAUUGGCUGCUGCUGACACAGAGGACGGACAAGUGGGAUGUGACCCAGUGUUGUGGGGAGAUCAGCACUGACUCCACUCAGCACAAGAUCAACACCCUGGAAGUGACACACAAUCUUACCCUGCUGCUUUUGAAACAUAUUCAAGGUCCUCCGGCAGUUCCAGUAGGUCUGUGUGGCUGUUUUCUACUUCCUGAAGCAGAAAAGAGAAAUAAGCACUGUUUACUGAGUGGUGCAAGCUGGGAGAGGAGGCAGCACUCAGAAGGACAACUGCACUAUGCCCCUCAUCUGGCCUCCUCUCUGCAGAGCUUAACCAUGCAUAACUGAUGAAUGAGGGUGGCAGAGCAGAAUAUGGAGAAAAAGAAACAACAAACAGUUAUGCGUGGAAUAAGAAGGCCAUGAGGACUUAGCGGGGAUUUUGAAAAGCUCAAACACAGACUGGUGGACAAGAGAGUGGCCACGAAAAGGCAGAAAGGAUGAAUGGGUACGGAGCUGCCAGGAUGGCUUUGGUGGCCACAAGCUCUGUGGUUUGCAGCUGAUGAUGAGCAGAGAUUGUGCAAAUAUGAACAAAGGAAGUUCCAGCAACUGCAGGGAAAGAUGCUGGAGGAAAGCAGGACAAAACUAAAAGGAGUUCCCUGAGAGCCGAGUGGUGCCCACAGGCGUUCACCACCAGCCUAAGAGAGCCAAUGCUUUUAACCCGCAGCUUGAUGGGGAGGAUAAUGAAUAAGAGUGUAUUACAUUAACUGAAUCUAGAGUAGGAGGAAUGGUUCACUAAGGUAAAAAGCCUCCCUUUCCUUUCUGCCCAGGACUGUAGUACCUCCAGGAUAUGGUGGAGCAGCGUAAUACGGGUUUGGUUUGCUUUGGUUUCUGUUAGUUUGAGUAAAGUGCUGAUUUUAAACCCAUCAGCGUCGCCUGUGUGACUUCCCUACAAGAUAAAAAAAAAAGACAGGUGUAACUCUUGUGUCCAAAUUACAGCCUUAGAUGUGAAGAUCAUACACAUAUUCUGUUGAUGGCUGGAGGACAAGCCAAACAAAGUCCUUACGUAGUUCAGAAAGUUUCCAACUUUGAGAAUCAGUUUACAGAAGAGCGGCAGACGGUGACUGGUCAGAAGAUCUGAAAAACAUAAAGGGCUUUUAAGCAAAAGCCUCUGCUAAACCAGAACGUUUUCUAAACUGGAUAAAAAGUGGGAUUCUGAAUUUCAGCAAACCGAAUCUGAUUUUUCAGGUUUG